rnacentral:rRNA from 1 species
AUGGACGAAAGUCUGACGGAGCAACGCCGCGUGAGUGAUGAAGGCUUUCGGGUCGUAAAACUCUGUUGUUAGGGAAGAACAAGUGCUAGUUGAAUAAGCUGGCACCUUGACGGUACCUAACCAGAAAGCCACGGCUAACUACGUGCCAGCAGCCGCGGUAAUACGUAGGUGGCAAGCGUUAUCCGGAAUUAUUGGGCGUAAAGCGCGCGCAGGUGGUUUCUUAAGUCUGAUGUGAAAGCCCACGGCUCAACCGUGGAGGGUCAUUGGAAACUGGGAGACUUGAGUGCAGAAGAGGAAAGUGGAAUUCCAUGUGUAGCGGUGAAAUGCGUAGAGAUAUGGAGGAACACCAGUGGCGAAGGCGACUUUCUGGUCUGUAACUGACACUGAGGCGCGAAAGCGUGGGGAGCAAACAGGAUUAGAUACCCUGGUAGUCCACGCCGUAAACGAUGAGUGCUAAGUGUUAGAGGGUUUCCGCCCUUUAGUGCUGAAGUUAACGCAUUAAGCACUCCGCCUGGGGA